GCGCCACCGAGGCCUCUCUCCAUAGAUAACAGAAGCAGCAGAGGAACGAGGCUUGGUUUUUCGGUAGUGUUAAUGGAGGAAGACACACUUGGUUUACCAGGCUCCUCAUUGAUAUUCAUAAAACAUUAACCAAUCACUUUCUCUCUCAGAGCCCCAGUUUCCUCCUCCUUGAGCACACUUGCCUAAAAGGUUACAAGUGUGAUUCUAUAUUAUUCCAUCUUCACAAAGCAUCUGCACAGGACACUGAGUCUAGGAGAGGUGUCAUUUAUGUCUGAGGCUGCAAGUACUUCACCUAGGGUCAACCUGGCUCUAGUGACAACCCAUAAAGCACAGUGCUCAACUCUUAUGAUAGCAGCCUAGGGAGUGAUAAUGACACAGUGCUUGGCAGUUUCUAGGCAGUCCCCAAAGCCACGUUAAUCUUGGGCAUGUUUUGGUCCCGAUGAGGAGGAAUUCCAGAGUUCCCAUCUCAAAGCUACGGAUGAAGCUGUUCCUUUCUUUUAAGGCCCUGGAUGAGACUUACAUUUCAUCAGUGUGAAAGGUCACCCAGAGCAUUUGGCAGAAGAGAAAAUUGGGGCUCAGUUUGGUGCCAGGAUUUAUCUGGAAGCUUGAACAAGAAUGGGAGUCUUCUGCUACCAUCCGUGGGAUGUACUUGCGGCUUCCUCCUGGUCUGCUUCCAGCUUCGAACAGACAGUUGGCUGAAGGAUGUGGUAGAUUAUCAGACAAGGAUCCAAACUGGAAAGCUCAAGGACUCUGGCUCAUCACAAGAGUCUUAUCUAGGCCAGGUUCCAAGCACAAAUGCGAGCUCUCAGUCCCAAGGCAGAAACUUGUCACAUCAGUUCAUUUGCAAGUUUCUCUCUCACAGAGUACAAAGGCAAUCAAUCGCCACAACCAUUCUCAGGAUCUGAAAUUCAGGUUACCUUAGAGUAGUGGGCUUUGGAAUCAGAGUGCUGACUACAGGUUUUGGUGCUCUGUGGUUUCUAGCUGGCUAGCUUUGGGAAAGUCUCCUCACAACGAGAAUGUCCGUAGGAGAGUUUGGAAAAUUCGAAGAAGCACUUGGAAAAUGUUCAGUGCAAGAAUCUGUAACAGUAGGCCUCAAUAACCAACUGUAAGACACUGUGGGGUGUGACUGCUUUAAAAAUGUCAUGAGCUACUCCUCCUCUGGAGAAAAACUGUUUAUGUUAUGGCUUUUUCAAUCCAGUGACAUUACUUAUAAACUGAACCUCAUUAUGGUGCAGCAGAAAGCACCUGCUUCUAAUUUCUCUUGGUCCUCCAUUACAGGUCACUCUCUUCUCUCUCUAUCUCUGUGGUUCCAGACCUCUCCACCUGUACCCAAUGCUCUACCAGCCACAGACAGCUGCACUACCGUUAUUUCUUACAACCACCACUCCCUGAUGAUAAGUGAGCACCAGCUACCAUCCUAGGAACCUUAGAGAGAACAUAAUGACUCCUGCUGAGAGCAACAUGGGGGCAGCUAAAUUGCUCACAGCUCCAAGAAGACGCUGGUGCUCUCACAGUAAUGAACGGCGUGCACAGGAAGCCAUGGACCGACCGGACAGCACAUCCUCCAAGGACUUUCUCUAGUUUCCACCACCAGCCCAUCAUGUGCCAAGCACUCACAUUCUGCUCCCACUGGACUCUGCAAGGCAACCUCAGCAGCCCACUUCACAGACACAACCCAGGAAAAAACCUGCCCAAGAUCACAAGCACGCAGGGUGGACCCUGACUGCUGUGACUCAGGACACCUUGCCAUUCGGCCUGUAUUCUCCGUCUCCUUUCACACAGUGGACUGGUCCACGGGAGGGAAAGAACUGUCAAGAGCCCAUGCUUACAUCUUCAUGUCAACUAUGUUCCACUCACCACCUUAAAGAGUUUUUUGUACUCAGAAAAAACUAAGAAUCAGCUAAGAGGCAAGGCUGGGCCUUGAGGGAGGACUGGAAGGCAAGUAUUUGUACUUCAGAACAAGAGGUACUGUCAGCUGUGCAUUCUGGUGCACUACUUAAUCAUCUGUAAAAUGGGUCCAACAGAACUUUGCUCAGAAGUCUGCUGUGAGAAUGAAGUGAGACAAAUAAAGACUCCCC